rnacentral:rRNA from 1 species
UACGAAGGGGCUAGCGUUGCUCGGAAUCACUGGGCGUAAAGGGUGCGUAGGCGGCGCGGUAAGUCGGGUGUGAAAUCUCGGAGCUUAACUCCGAAACUGCAUUCGAUACUGCCGUGCUGGAGGACUGGAGAGGAGACUGGAAUUUACGGUGUAGCGGUGAAAUGCGUAGAUAUCGUAAGGAAGACCAGUGGCGAAGGCGGGUCUCUGGACAGUUCCUGACGCUGAGGCACGAAGGCCAGGGGAGCAAACGGG